rnacentral:rRNA from 1 species
AUUGAACGCUGGCGGCAGGCCUAACACAUGCAAGUCGAGCGAGCGGCGGACGGGUGAGUAAUGUAUGGGGACUGCCCGAUAGAGGGGGAUAACUACUGGAAACGGUAGCUAAUACCGCAUACUAUCGGAUAACCCAUAUGGGAUUAGCUAGUUGGUGAGGUAAUGGCUCACCAAGGCGAAGAUCCCUAGCUGGUCUGAGAGGAUGAUGAGUCACACUGGGACUUAGACACGGCCCAGACUCCGACGGAGGCAGCAGUGGGGAAUAUUGCACAAUGGGCGCAAGCCUGAUGCAGCAAUGCCGCGGGUAUGAAGAAGGCCCUAGGGUUGUAAAGUACUUUCAGUCGGGAGGCGGUACCCGCAGAAGAAGCACCGGCUAACUCCGGGCCAGCCGCCGCGGUAAUAC